AUCGAGCGAAGCACCGUGAGCGGCGCUUCGCGAGAGGGAACCCGGUGAGAAUCCGGGACUGUCCCGCAACGGUAUGCAGGAACGACCGCCGUCAGAGUUUUUGGCAAGCACUGGUCGCAAGACUGGGAAGCGACGGCCACUAGUACACCUGCCCGGCUCCUCAGCGGCCCGUUUUCGGGCCGCAUCGUCGGCCGGGCGGAGCACCGCACGGUGCACGCCUGCGAGUCCGGAGACCUGCCAGUCGUGCCGGGCGCGCC
rnacentral:ncRNA from 21 species